rnacentral:rRNA from 1 species
CCUACGGAGGGCAUCAGUGAGGAAUAUUGGUCAAUGGACGAGAGUCUGAACCAGCCAAGUAGCGUGAAGGAUGACUGCCCUAUGGGUCGUAAACCUCUUUUAUAAGGGAAUAAAACGCGGCACGUGUGCCUUUUUUCAUGUACUUUAUGAAUAAGGAUCGGCUAACUCCGUGCCAGCAGCCGCGGUCAUACGGAGGAUCCGAGCGUUAUCCGGAUUUAUUGGGUUUAAAGGGUGCGUAGAGGGGUCGUUAAGUCAGUCGGUAAAGUCGGGGGCUCAACCGUCGACUUGCAGUUGAUACUGGCAGACUAGAGGACAGGAGAGGUAGGCGGAAUGCGUGGUGUAGCGGUGAAAUGCAUAGAUAUCACGAAGAACCCCGAUUGCGAAGGCAGCUUACUGGAGUGUGACUGACAUUGAGGCUCGAAAGUGUGGGUAUCAAACAGGAUUAGAUACCCGAGUAGUC